rnacentral:ncRNA from 1 species
ACCCAUGAAAACAUGGAAAAAUAGAGACAUUUACGGUAUUUUCCCGUUUCGAAUCGUCCGAAAAACGAGAUUUUGAGAAUUUAGGGUUAUGCUAAAAAAUCGCCCGUUAAACGUGGAGUUAAGGUGCCUAACUUCUCGCUCAUGAGACCCCAUAAAAGGUGUUGGUUGAUAUUGACAGCAGGACGGUGGCCAUGGAAGUCGGUACCCGCUAAGGAGUGUGUAACAACUCACCUGCCGAAUCAACUAGCCCUGAAAAUGGAUGGCGCUUAAGCGAGAGACCUAUACUCCGCCGUUGCGACAUGUGCGUUGUCUAGCGCCAGGUCGUAACGAGUAGGAAGGUCGUGGCGGUUGCGUUGAAGGCUAUGAGCGUGGGCUCGGCUGGAGCUUCCGUCAGUGCAGAUCGUAAUGGUAGUAGCAAAUAUUCAAGUUCGAUCCUUGAAGACUGAAGUGGAGAAGGGUUCCACGUGAACAGUAGUUGGAUGUGGGUCAGUCGAUCCUAAGGUACUGGCGAACGCCUUGUAUCAUCGGUGGCGAAAAGCUUGCUUUUGGUCCCCGUUUGUCGAAAGGGAAUAGGGUUAAUAUUCCCUAACUGAGAUGCAAAGAUUGUGUUCUUCGGAGCACAAGCGCGGUAACGCAUUCGAACUUGGUUAGUCGCUCAAAGACCGAGCUAGAGUUUUCUUCUCUAGUUAAGGAACGGACUCCCUGGAAUUGGUUCAGCCAGAGAUGGGGACGUUGUUUCCGAAAAGCACCGCGGUUUCUGUGGUGUCUCGUGCUCUUUGAACGGCCCUUAAAACACCGAGGGAGGCUAGUGAUUUGCACUCAAUCGUACCGAUAUCCGCAUUCCUCUCCAAGGUGAACAGCCUCUAUCGAUAGAAUAUGUAAGUAACGGAAGUCGGAGAUAAUAUCCGCAUCUAUCGGGAAAAGGAUUGUCCCCAG